rnacentral:tRNA from 1 species
GGAGAGAUGGCAGAGUGGUCUAUCGCGGCGGUCUUGAAAACCGCUGAGGCGCAAGCCUCCGGGGGUUCGAAUCCCUCUCUCUCCGCCA